UAAUCGGACUCUUUAUUAUUUUGUAUGUAUGAUCUGCCCAUAUGAGAGGAAUGUUCCAUGAAAAAAUCCAGCCACAUCAAAGUCUCAACCAUUGUUUCUCACCAAAAAAAAAAAAGGUCUUAACCAUUAAAAGGUAAAAACGACAUGUCAUUUUAACUCACACGUGAGAAACAUGAUGCAUCAUCCUUGGUGCCCAAAACGCACGCUUGACAGUAGACAGUCAGAGACACUAAAGUCUACACACCGAAGAGGAAAAUCGUGGCAUCCCAUUUCCACCACCAACACGGUUGAAUUUGAAGGAACGAAAUUGAAAAAUCUUUGCCCCAUUUCGUGGUUUCAUUGCCAGAGAGGUAAAUUGUGAUUCUCUGUUCAGUUCAACAAUAUGAUUAGAAUUUGCAGCCACCGCAACAAAUUAUUUUUUAAAGGGAUGAUGUUUGUUAGGAUGUACAGUUCUAGUGAACUAACAACAGAGGUUUUAGAUCCAAGGAAAAGAAUUUGUGAAAUAAUGAUAUCUUGCCCAGCAUUAGCUCUUGAUACUGCUCUUAACCAAAGUGGAAUAAGAGUUUCUCCAGAUGUACUUGAGGAUGUGCUCAAGAGAUUCGAGAAUGCUGGUAUGUUGGCAUAUCGAUUCUUUGAAUGGGCUGGAAAACAACGAAAUUACAUGCACAGUGUCAGGGCUUAUCACAGCAUGAUUGAGUCUCUGGCAAAGAUUAGGCAAUAUCAGAUCAUGUGGGAUCUUGUGAAUUCUAUGAGGAACAAGAGCAUGCUUAAUGUUGAGACAUUUUGCAUUAUAAUGAGAAAGUAUUCCCGGGCUCAGAAGGUGGAGGAGGCAAUUUACACAUUUAACAUCAUGGAGAAAUAUGAUACCACCCCAAAUCUAGCAGCAUUCAAUGGUCUUCUAAGUGCUUUGUGCAAGUCCAGGAAUGUGAGGAAGGCUCAGGAGAUCUUUGACAGUAUGAAGGAUAGGUUUGUUCCUGACCCAAAGACUUACAGUAUAUUGCUUGAGGGAUGGGGAAAGUCUCCAAAUCUGCCCAGGGCAAGGGAGAUUUUCUGAGAAAUGGUUGACAUGGGUUGCAAUCCUGAUAUAGUGACCUAUGGCAUUAUGGUUGACAUCCUUUGCAAGGCAGGGAGAGUUGAUGAAGCUCUUGGAAUUGUUAAGAACAUGGAUACUAGGACAUGCAAGCCAACAUCUUUCAUUUAUAGUGUUUGGUUCAUACGUAUGGGAUAGAAAACCGGAUUGAAGAUGCUGUAGAUACAUUCUUAGAGAUGGAAAGAAAUGGAAUCAAGCCUGAUGUGGCAGUGUAUAAUGCCUUGAUUAGUGCUUUCUGUAAAACAAACAAGUUAAAGAAUGUGUAUAGGGUCUUAAAUGACAUGGAUUCCAAGGGUGUUACACCGAAUUCAAGGACCUGCAACAUUAUUCUAAACAGCUUGAUUCUCCGUGGAGAGACUGAUGAGGCAUUUAGAAUCUUUUGCAGGAUGAUCAAGGUAUGUGAACCAGAUGCAGACACGUAUACAAUGAUGAUAAAGAUGUUUUGUGAAAGGGACGAGCUAGAGAUGGCUCUUAAAGUGUGGAAGUAUAUGAGGUUGAAGCAGUUUUUCCCAAGCAUGCACACAUUUUCAGUCCUUAUAAAUGGAUUGUGUGAGAAGGGGAAUGUUUCCAAAGCUUGUGUCUUAUUGGAAGAGAUGAUAGAGAAGGGUAUUCGACCAUCGGGUGUGACAUUUGGGAGGUUACGACAGUUGCUUCUAAAGGAAGGAAGAGAAGAUGUACUCAAAUUUCUUCAAGAGAAAAUGAAUCUCCUGGUCAAGGAGCCUUUAUGUGAUUGAGAAGCCAUGGCUAGCAACAUAUCAACACUAGAGCUGCUUAUAUUGUUGAUUAGCAAGUACGUGAUUUGGUGUUGUAAUCCUAGAUACUGCAUGGUGUAAUAAGAGCAAAGAUCAUCCUUUGCAGAUCUUUGUUGAUGGCACCAAGUAAUUACAGAAAUCUAAUCAAUUUGAAAGGGGCAGUCAGUCAUAUCUUCGACUAGGCUGCUAGAAGUACAGCAGCUUCUGAAAAAUGUUCGGAAAGAGAAAAAAUGAAUUUCAAACUGCCUUUGGGUUGGUUCUUGACAAAAGGAAGGUGACAAGUAACUCACACAAACUUGGUAUGUAUUUGUAUGAACUAUGGAAAUCCAUACUUUUGAUGAAACAAUCAAAUGAAAUAAACAAGUAGAUAGCCUUAAC